CAGAGUGUGGCACAGCUGGAGAGCUGUGUUGUUGAAGAGGAUGCUGCAGUCCUUGGAGAAAUGUGGGUCUUGGAGCAGAAGUGAUGGCAGUGUGGAACCACCUGAAGAGGGUGCACUACAAUGCAGAACUAAUUCCCAUGACAGCUGGAAGGAGGAGCCAGAAUGGUAGCAACAUAUUGACACCCUCAUGGCUCAUCAGCAAGGCUGGAACCUUUUGAUCCUCCACCUGGACCUCUGUCACUUCAGGACAUGGUCUGCACAUGUCAUGGAGGAGGAUGUAUAAUAGCUGCCUUUAGGGGGGAAAACCAGGCUGGUCUGGUGAAAAAUCGGAGGUGUCCCCAGGCAGGAUUUCUGCACAGCUUCCAAACACUUGUCACCAUGCCCAGUUUCCUUAAUACAGUCAAGCAAAGCUACACAAAACAGUCUUUCAGCUCAUUUCUUUUCUCUUGGGCUUCAGGGCCACCCCUGCAGGGUCUCCUGCACACAUGCUUCUGGUAGCUUCCCAGUUCAGGUCAGCUUUGCUCCCUUCCUGGAGCAGUAGCCCCAGGGCUGCUUCCAUAACCACCUGGCCCUUCACGCCAGGGACCCACA